rnacentral:rRNA from 1 species
UAAUGUAUGGGGAUCUGCCCGAUAGAGGGGAACAACUACUGGAAACGGUGGCUAAUACCGCAUAAUGUCUACGGACCAAAGCAGGGGCUCUUCGGACCUUGCACUAUCGGAUGAACCCAUAUGGGAUUAGCUAGUAGGUGGGGUAAAGGCUCACCUAGGCGACGAUCUCUAGCUGGUCUGAGAGGAUGAUCAGCCACACUGGGACUGAGACACGGCCCAG